GCUUCCUUAGCUCAGUUGGUAGAGCGCGACACUAGUACGCUUACUCAGCGCGCAAUGUCGAGGUCAGUCGUUCGAAUCGGCUAGGAAGCA